GACAAUCUGAUUGGUCGAGAAAUUGGAACGAUACCACGAAGAUUGGGGAGUAUGUAGCGCAAGGAUGACACGCAAAUUCGUGAAGCGUUCCAUAUUUUU
rnacentral:snRNA from 1 species